rnacentral:rRNA from 1 species
AGUGAACGCUGGCGGCGUGCCUAAUACAUGCAAGUCGAACGGAGUGGCGCACGGGUGAGUAAUGUAUAGCUAAUCUGACCUACACUAGAGGACAACAGUUGGAAACGGCUGCUAAUACUCUAUAGUGUAGGAUGAGGCUAUAUUGUAUCAGCUAGGUGGUGAGGUAAUGGCUCACCAAGGCUAUGACGCAUAACUGGUCUGAGAGGAUGAGCAGUCAAACUGGAACUGAGACACGGUCCGGAUACCUACGGGAAGCAGCAGUAGGCAAUAUUGCCCAAUGGGGGAAACCCAGAAGCAGCAACGGCGCGUGGAGGAUGACACUUUUCGAAGCGUAAACUCCUUUUGUUAGGGAAGCGGUACCUAACGAAUAAGCACCGGCUAACUCCGUGCCAGCAGCCGCGGUAAUUC